UUUUUCGUGAAAGUGCCUUUAUGGAUUUUGUAUUGUUUUUGACAUUGUUUCAAACUUUUUCCUUUGUUCAGGUCUAAAACUUAACUGAACUCAUGAAGACUUGGAGAGCUAAAGAGACGUGAAAAUGGCAGGGUCAAAAAACUCAUUUUACAUAAGAAACCGUGGAAGCACUUAAUGGAAGUAAGGUAAAAAGCCUUCUGGUGAUGAAUUUUUCGCCACGACACUGCCAGGGAGUGCUGCAGCUGGGCGGCAUUUUCACCAGACCCGGAAGUGUAGCCGGAGCUCAGCAGUCAACCACCAGGAGCACUUCUGGAGGGAAAAAAUGUGCACUGUUCAGAAGCCUUCCAUCCAUCUUCUAAACCCCACCAUUAUCCCGAGUAGGACUGCAAGGAAGCUGCAGUCUACCCCAGCAUGAACAGAGUGCAGCAGGAACAAACCCCAUAGAGGGCGCCAGUUCAUCACAAGGUAACCACACAAAGACACAUGCAAGGGCCAGUUUACCAUUUCCAGUGCACCAAACCUGCACGCUUUUGUACUGUUGGA